CAUGACAUUAGCCCAUAGUUGUCAUAUGAGACAUCUGUGGUUUUCCUGUGAUCAAGCUCCACAUCUGCUGUUCUAUUGAAACAACAGUUAAUCUUUGUCCCAGUCACUGCCACCAUCUUCUGUGAAGUCAGACUAACAGUAUGUAUGUAGCUGUCUAAAGAAUGACAUUGUUCAUCCCUGAUAUGGCUGGUCAUCUGUUUUUGCUCAUCCUCCUUUUCGAUACCUUCCAGUUCCUCAAAGCCAAAGUUUCCUGUGUGUAUCAAGAAUGGUCCACCACCCUAAGGACAUCCUGCCAACUUGACACAACUGUGGGAAGGAUUGGAGUCAACAUGGGUCAGCAUCCCUGUGGAAUG